UAGUCUCGCACAGAUGCAUAUCAAUAAGGCGGAGGAAAAGAAACUAACAAGGAUUCCCCUAGUAACGGCGAGUGAAGCGGGAAGAGCUCAAAUUUGAAAUCUUAAAGGGUUUCCCUUUACGAAUUGUAGUUUAAAGAAGUGUUUUCUGUUGAGGUUUUGGUAAAAGUUCUUUGGAAUAGGACAUCAUAGAGGGUGAGAAUCCCGUAUUUGACCUUUACUUUCAACUUUGUGAUACACUUUCAAAGAGUCGGAUUGUUUGGGAAUGCAGUCCAAAAUGGGUGGUAAAUUUCAUCUAAAGCUAAAUAUUGGCGAGAGACCGAUAGCGAACAAGUACCGUGAGGGAAAGAUGAAAAGAACUUUGAAAAGAGAGUUAAACAGUACGUGAAAUUGUCAAAAGGGAAGCGUUUGACACCAGUGUUGUUUUUCUGAAAAUCAAUUAAAGAACUGUUUAUGCUAAGUUGUUUAGACUUUAUCAGCUAACUGUUUAGUUUUGAGCUUUUCUUUAAUGCACUUUUCAGUUAACAAGUCAACAUCAAUUUCUUUUGCUGUAAAAAAGCUUGAGGAAGGUGGCUUGAGAUUCGUCUUAAGUGUUUAUAGCCUCUUGCCUAAGCAGUCGGAGAGAUUGAGGUCUGCAGCGUAGAUCCUUCGGGGCUAAAUGCAUUUGUGCUAAGUUAUAGCAUUUUAUAGACAACUUGUUGACUAUGAUUUGUCUUGUAGCUUACUCGCUUAUGUUAUUUUACCUACGCUUAGGAUGUUGAACUCUAUCACACACAG
rnacentral:rRNA from 1 species